CCACAUCCAUAAAUCUUUUCUAUGAAAUCAAAUUAAUGAUUGAAAACUUUUUUUAUAAAUUAAUAUACUAAAAGUGUUCCCUUUAAUGUCAAGCUCCUCAAUCAACUGGGUGGAUAAAUUAAACCAAACUAUUUCACCAUCUUUUUUCUGAAAAAAUAAAUCACCUUUCUUCCCUGCACCAAUAGGAAGUCUAAUACCAGACAACGGCCCAAUAGUAAAAAGUUUAGUCCAUGAUUCUUUCUUUCCAAUUUCUCCCAAAAUCGAUAUAUUAAAAGUAGUAUUAUCUAAAAACCAUGAGAUCAAAGCAAUAGACCCAUUUAACACCAUUAAGGAGAUUGGUAUGUCAUCAGCUUUAAAAUCAUCAUCCACGCCUUGAAGUGUUCCUACAGGUAUAGGUGUCGUAAUAAUCUUCUCGGUGACUAAGUCAAACGACGCUAAGUCUCUUCCAUCAAGAACACCCUUAAAAUGCCACCAAUGACACAAAAGCCACUCUAGAAUGUAGCGGUAUAAAAGAGACAUCUUCGUCAAUUUUUCUCCAAGAGUUACUUCUAAGGCUAUAUAUUUCGUAGUCGCAAACAAAUUCUGGGUAACAAACAUAAUCAGGACUUCCAUCAUAAUAUUGAUAAUCCCCAUAAAAGAAACAUGCACCCGUAAUCAACUUAUAAUCAUUUUUAACAUGGUCAUAACCAAAUCCAAGUGGAAUAUCGUGAUCUCUUACAUAAGGUGAUACAGGCUCAAGAGGGCUUUCAGGGAUGAUCUUGAAUUCCUCUGUUGUUGGAUUCCAUAAUACAAAUCUUUUAUCACAAAAAAAUCUUUUAUCACUAUGGUAGAGACAAAGAAUUCCGGUAAUACUACCAGAAUCCAAAACCCAUAAAGAAGGGUCUUCAUCUUGAAAUGGAUUUGGCAAAUCCAAUUUGACUACAUCCUCAAAACUAUCUCUAGGAAAUGAACACAAAUCUUUAUCAGUAAGUUGUAGGAGAAGAGAUGUAUCAUCGUAGUACGAAUGAUCAUAAGAGAGGAAAUUGUUUUGAAAGAUACUCAAGAAUUUAUGGUUUUCAAAUAACAAAAGCCAUGAUUUACGUACGCAUCCAAAUCGCUUCAAAGAUUUUAGUGGCAAUUUUGAUAGAAUACAAAAUGCAAGAUCGUCGCAUAUGUAGUUUUUAACCUUUUCUUUUGUCACACUUGCAUAUUUUUCCAUCUCUACUUGUAAUCGUAAACUGGUUGACAAGAGAGAUGUUGUGAUUUUGAUCAAGUAUUUAGAGAAUAAAACAAAGGGUAAAACUAACUAUAUAGGUGCUUGAGUUAAAAAAAUUUGAAACAAAAAUAUCUAUGUGAAGUAGCUAUUAAUAGUAUUAUCUAAAAAUCGAUAUAUUAAAAGUAGUAUUAUCUAAAAACUAUGAGAUCAAAGCAAUAGACCCAUUUAACACCAUUAAGGAGAUUGGUAUGUCAUCAACCUUAAAAUCAUCAUCCACGUCUUGAAGUAUUCCUACAGGUAUAGGUGUCGUAAUAAUCUUCUCGGUGACUAAGUCA
rnacentral:lncRNA from 1 species